AGGGGGCGUGGCCGGAGGGGGCGUGGUCGGCGGGUGCUCGCCGGGCUUGGGGGUGAGUCCUGCUGGACACAGGGCGCAGUAGGCAGCUGGCCCUGAGCCCGGCUCCGGACCGGGGCAUUCCUGUGGCGGAGUCGGUCUCGUUCUUGCGAUCCAGUCCUUUCUGGGACCUAGCACCGAGCGCUCUCCGUGCACCAGGCAGGAGAGCAGGAGUGGGGAGCAGGGCUGACCCCGGCAACUCCGUGCGUCCACCCGUGCACAGGCUCUGCCCUGGAGCUGUUCACAUUCCAGUGCAGAUUCCCCGAUCGGCCUCCCAGACGGAUAAGGAUGCAGUCACACCGUCCUUUUUGAGGCAGCCUGAGAAUCCAGAUUCUGAUCUGCUUGUGCGGUUCCCUGCUGUGACGCAGUGCUGGUGCGCGUGAGCUUUCCGCAGCCGUGACUCGGGGAAGGCAGCAUGGAGUGGACAUGACUGUGUGCUGGCCCCAGCCUGUUCCAGGGAUUCGGGUGUGCACAGACUGGCUCCUGCCCUCAAAUGGUUGACAUUCCCUUGAGAGGAGCAGAUAAAAGCCAAGUAAAAACCAAUCCAACAGGAAGGGCUGUGGCCACGUCAUCAUCUAAGAGAUAGAGACAGCCAGAGAGAGAGGGAACACAAGCAGGGGGAGUGGGAGAGGAAGAAGCAGGCUCCCAGCAGAGGAGCCUGAUCUGGGGCUCGAUCCCAGAACGCCGGGACCACGCCCUGAGCGAAAGGCAGACGCUUAAUGACUGCGCCACGCAGGCGCCCCUAAACAAACCUUUAAAGAUCACGUUUAAAGGAAGACACUAGGUGGAGAUCACUGAGGGGUUUCUUCGGAUGUGGUGGUCCCAACGGUGUGGAUUCUAGGUGCAAAAUGAGGCUUUGGGGAGGGUGCUUCACCUCGAUUCAAAACUUGAACAGCUUAGCUGCUUAUGUUGAAGAUACUUGCCCAAAUUUAAAUAAAUGUGAGAGUGGAAAAAGU